rnacentral:rRNA from 1 species
CAAGGUUUCCGUAGGUGAACCUGCGGAAGGNUCAUUG